rnacentral:rRNA from 1 species
UAAGGAAUAUUGGACAAUGGAGGCAACUCUGAUCCAGCCAUGCCGCGUGAAGGAUUAAGGCCCUAUGGGUUGUAAACUUCUUUUAGACGGGACAAAACCCCUUUACGUGUAAAGGGUUGAUGGUACUGUCAGAAUAAGCAUCGGCUAACUUCGUGCCAGCAGUCGCGGUAAUACGAAGGAUGCAAGCGUUAUCCGGAAUUAUUGGGUUUAAAGGGUGCGUAGGCGGACUAAUAAGUCAGUGGUGAAAGCCUGCAGCUUAACUGCAGAAUUGCCAUGGAUACUGUUAGUCUUGAGUACAGUUGAGGUAGGCGGAAUGUGUCAUGUAGCGGUGAAAUGCUUAGAUAUGACACAAAACACCGAUUGCGAAGGCAGCUUGCUAAGCUGUAACUGACGCUGAGGCACGAAAGCGUGG